UACGUAGGUGGCAAGCGUUGUCCGGAUUUACUGGGCGUAAAGGAUGCGUAGGCGGACAUUUAAGUCAGAUGUGAAAUACCCGAGCUUAACUUGGGUGCUGCAUUUGAAACUGGGUGUCUAGAGUGCAGGAGAGGUAAGUGGAAUUCCUAGUGUAGCGGUAAAUGCGUAGAGAUUAGGAAGAACACCAGUGGCGAAGGCGACUUACUGGACUGUAACUGACGCUGGAGGACUGAAAGCGUGGGGAGCAAACAGGAUUAGAACCGUAC
rnacentral:rRNA from 1 species